GCAGGAAACUGCAUAUCUUCUGGUUUACAUGAAGAUGGAGUGCUAAUGGAAAUGCC
rnacentral:lncRNA from 1 species